rnacentral:piRNA from 1 species
UCAGGGCUUCUCUGACCUAGUAGAGAGUGA